rnacentral:rRNA from 1 species
GACGAACCGAGCGAACGUUGUUCGGAAUCACUGGGCUUAAAGGGUGCGUAGGCGGGCUGCCAAGUUUGGGGUGAAAUCCUCCGGCUCAACCGGGGAAGUGCCUCGAAUACUGGCGGUCUGGAGGGAGGUAGGGGCGUGCGGAACUAACGGUGGAGCGGUGAAAUGCGUUGAUAUCGUUAGGAACUCCGGUGGCGAAGGCGGCACGCUAGACCUCUCCUGACGCUGAGGCACGAAAGCCAGGGGAGCGAACGGG